rnacentral:rRNA from 1 species
ACAGCAGUAGCCGCGGUAAUACAGAGGGUGCGAGCGUUAAUCGGAUUUACUGGGCGUAAAGCGUGCGUAGGCGGCUUCUUAAGUCGGAUGUGAAAUCCCUGAGCUUAACUUAGGAAUUGCAUUCGAUACUGGGAAGCUAGAGUAUGGGAGAGGAUGGUAGAAUUCCAGGUGUAGCUGUGAAAUGCGUAGAGAUCUGGAGGAAUACCGAUGGCGAAGGCAGCCAUCUGGCCUAAUACUGACGCUGAGGUACGAAAGCAUGGGGAGCAAACAGGAUUAGAUACCCCCGUAGUCCCUGUCUCUUAUAC